rnacentral:rRNA from 1 species
UAUGUAGGUGGCGAGCGUUGUCCGGAUUUACUGGGCGUAAAGAGCGCGCAGGCGGCUGGUCAAGUCCGAUGUGAAAGCUCCCGGCUUAACUGGGAAAUUGCAUCGGAAACUGAUCGGCUGGAAGGUGGGAGAGGGUAGCGGAAUUCCCGGUGUAGUGGUGAAAUGCGUAGAUAUCGGGAGGAACACCAGUGGCGAAAGCGGCUACCUGGCCCAUUCUUGACGCUGAGGCGCGAAAGCUAGGGGAGCAAACGGG